AAGAAAGGACCGCAUGAAUUGCUAACUCACUGCAUCCAUACUUAAAAAUAUGGCUUUCUUA
rnacentral:tRNA from 1 species